UAGGGCUUGUGAUAUUCUUCUGGUGGAGGAGAAACACAGGAAGCAAGAACACCCGAAUGUACAGAGCCUUGGCCUUCUUUGAACAAGAGGAGAGAACUGUCCAACAAAGUCUGACAACUUCUGAUUUGCCAUCAUGGGUCAACUUCCCGGAUGUAGAAAGAGUAGAGUGGCUGAACAAGACUGUGAGACAGAUGUGGCCGUAUAUUUGCCAGUUCAUAGAGAAGCUGUUCCACGAGACUAUCGAACCGGCCGUGAAGG